rnacentral:rRNA from 1 species
CACCUGAUUCCAUCCCGAACUCAGAAGUGAAACGAAACAGCGUCGAUGGUAGUGUGGGGUCUCCCCAUGUGAGAGUAGAACAUCGCCAGGC